rnacentral:lncRNA from 1 species
GGGAGUCCCCUAUAGAUCUCUCUUGACCCUACUUCAGGCUCACCAUUGGGUUGGGAAUAUGAUGAAUCCAGGGUUCCCUUACUUCUCUGAGGGAGACGUCAAUGCCUUCAGUUCCUUCCUUUCUGAGGAAGUAUCAAGAGAGAGGCUGGGUCCCUCUGAAUACUGUGAGUGCUUGGCUAGGCAAGGCCACUCAGCACUUGCCAGUCACUGUGCAAACAUUGUGUUUGGAAACUCUGUGGUCAGUACUGUGGUCCACCCUUGCUUGCUGACUGUGGCUGGAAAGAGCAGAAUUAGCUCUUCCUGCUUGAGUACUGCACACCCUCUAAUCAGUUAACCUCGGGCAGGUCCCCAGUUUUUUCCAGCUUUGAGCACUCUUAGAUAACAAAUCACUGUCAGUUGAAACUGCUUUUUCUGC